rnacentral:lncRNA from 1 species
GGUGGCACACAAAAGCCUACGGUGCCUUUAUACUGCCUUACGGAGGAGAAAUGACCAUCAGUACCUACCGUUGCUUACAGUGGCUACCUGGCUACCGUAAGCUACGGUAGAGCCUAGUUCAGCCAACCUUUGUUCUCUAUUUUUACAUUUGUAUACAACCGUUAGACACCCGAACUUCUUUCUUCUCCGUUUUUCACGCUUCCAAUAUGUAAAAUAAUCAU